AAUGUGGUUACUGUGGCUGGGUUGUUUGGCGUUACAAAAAUGAAAGAAUUUCUCACAGUUGCCUUGCAAACUGUGAUCACUUAUUCAUGGAUAACAAUAGAAACCUCUUUAUAGAUGAGACACAUUUGCAUUAGACAGAUAGCAACACUGCCAUUGAAAUAGAUACUGCUGA
rnacentral:lncRNA from 13 species